GACGAACGCUGGCGGCGUGCUUAACACAUGCAAGUCGAACGGAAAGGCCUGCUUUCCCUUGUGGAUUGCGGGUACUCGAGUGGCGAACGGGUGAGUAACACGUGAGUGAUCUGCCCCCAACUUGGGUAUAAGCCUGGGAAACUGGGUCUAAUUCCCGAUAGGACUGCAGGGUGGUGCCUGUGGUGGAAAACGAUUUUCUAGUGGUUGGGGAUGAGCUCGCGGCCUAUCAGCUUGUUGGUGGGGUAAUGGCCUACCAAGGCGGCGACGGGUAGCCGGCCUGAGAGGGUGGACGGCCACAUUGGGACUGAGAUACGGCCCAGACUCCUACGGGAGGCAGCAGUGGGGAAUAUUACACAAUGGGCGGAAGCCUGAUGCAGCGACGCCGCGUGGGGGAUGUCGGCCUUCGGGUUGUAAACUCCUUUCGACCGCGAGGAAGCCACCUGGUUGGAAGGGUGGUGACGGUAGUGGUAGAAGAAGCACCGGCUAACUACGUG
rnacentral:rRNA from 1 species